rnacentral:lncRNA from 1 species
AGCGUUUUAUAACGAUUUUUAUUGAUAAAUCGAUAUGUGGCCAUUGUUUAUUGCGUUUUGAAGAGCACUCGCUUCGUCUUUCCAACAAGACGCGUAGGUUCGGCGCUCCGAUUUGCAUUUAAGCUGUCAUCUUCUCGGAAGCAGGCGCUCAUGCUUGGAGACCUGCAGAGCACGAACUGCAGCAUGUGUGGCGAGCCCGGGAGACAGCAAGAGCCACAGGAGUCCUGGACUAAGGGCGCCUCCCACACAAGCAGAAAGACACCCGCUUUUCCUUUAUUUUUUUUAAUAAAUGUUUUUCCUUCUC